GACGAACGCUGGCGGCGCGCCUAACACAUGCAAGUCGAACGAGCGAGAGAGAGCUUGCUUUCUCAAGCGAGUGGCGAACGGGUGAGUAACGCGUGAGGAACCUGCCUCAAAGAGGGGGACAACAGUUGGAAACUACUGCUAAUACCGCAUAAGCGCACAGGUCGCCAUCGAGCAGAGGGAAAAGGGGCAAUCCGCUGUGAGAUGGCCUCGCUUCCGAUUGGCUAGUUGGUGAGGUCACGGCCCACCAAGGCAACGAUCGGUGGCCGGGCUGAGGGGCUGCACCGCCACGUUGGAACUGCGGCCCGGCCCACAAUCCUACGGAGGGGAGCAGUGGGGAAUACUGCGCAAUGAGGGCAGCCCUGAUGACGCGGCGCCGCGUGUAGGAAGAAGGUCUUCGGAUUGUAAACUCCUGUUGUUGAGGAAGAUAAUGACGGUAAUCAACAAGGAAGUACCGGCUAACUACGUG
rnacentral:rRNA from 1 species